AUUGAACGCUGGCGGCAUGCCUUACACAUGCAAGUCGAACGGUAACGCGGGGCAACCUGGCGACGAGUGGCGAACGGGUGAGUAAUGCAUCGGAACGUGCCCAGUAGUGGGGGAUAGCCCGGCGAAAGCCGGAUUAAUACCGCAUACGACCUAAGGGUGAAAGCGGGGGAUCGCAAGACCUCGCGCUAUUGUAGCGGCCGAUGUCAGAUUAGGUAGUUGGUGGGGUAAAGGCCUACCAAGCCUACGAUCUGUAGCUGGUCUGAGAGGACGACCAGCCACACUGGGACUGAGACACGGCCCAGACUCCUACGGGAGGCAGCAGUGGGGAAUUUUGGACAAUGGGCGCAAGCCUGAUCCAGCCAUGCCGCGUGCGGGAAGAAGGCCUUCGGGUUGUAAACCGCUCUUGUCAGGGAAGAAAUCUUCUGGGCUAAUACCUCGGGAGGAUGACGGUACCUGAAGAAUAAGCACCGGCUAACUACGUGCCAGCAGCAGCCGCGGUAA
rnacentral:rRNA from 1 species